UGAUAUCCAGGCAGUCUGACUGCAGCAUCUGUCUUGUAACCCCAUGGAUCUCAGGGUUGGUUUGGCUGAUCUGGCUAGCUAAGCAAGUAUCCUCUUCCUCCCUUACUGCUCCCUAUGUGUGCUUCCCCAAGCUGUGCACUCAGGAUGACCUUUUCCUGAUAGAGCACCGUUCUUCAGUCAAGGAUAUAUGAAUGGCUGCUCUGGUGCUAGAACUUCCAAACAAGGGGUUGGCAAGAUGGCUUAGAGAAUGCUUGCUAAGCGUGUAAAGUCUU
rnacentral:snRNA from 1 species